CUCAUGCCUGUAAUCCCAGCACUUUGGGAGGCCAAGGCGGGCGGAUCGCCUAAGGUCAGGAGUUUGAGACCAGCCUGGCCAACAUGGUGAAACCCCAUCUCUACUAAAAAUACAAGAAUUAGCCGGGCGUCGUGGUGUGUGCCUGUAAUCCCAGCUACCCAGCAUGCUGAAGCAGGAGAAUUGCGGGAACCCAGGAGGCAGAGGCUGCAGUGAGCUGAGAUCGCACCACUGCACUCCAGCCUGGGUGACAGAACAAGACUCCAUCUCAAUAAAAACAACAACAACAACAAAAAACCCACCACCACCAACAGCAACCAAAAAAAAACAACUCUUUGCAGCUGAAAUCAAGACAUGACUGAGGAGAACUCAAAAAACCUAGAACAAUGCCUCACUGAGAAUCAAGAGACAUGGUUUUUUAUCCUGCUUGCCGCUAAUUUAAUGUAUGAACUGUUUUGUUUGUUUGUUUGUUUGUUUGUUUUGAGACAGGGUUUCACUCUGUCACCCAGGCUGGAGUGUAGUGGUACAAUCACGGUUCACUGCAGCCUUGACCUCCUGGGCUCAAGCGAUCCUCCCACUUCAGCCUUCCAAGUAGCUGGGACCACAGGCAUGUGCUGCAAAGCCUGGCUAAUUUUUUUUUUUUUUUUUUUUUUUUUUUUUUUAGAGAUGGGGUUUCACCAUGUUGUCCAGGCUGGUCUCGAACUCCUGGGCUCAAGUGAUCCUCCAGCCUGGGCCUCCCAAAGUGCUGGAAUUACAGGUGUGAGCCACCAUGCCCAGCCAAUGUAUGAACAUGAAC
rnacentral:lncRNA from 1 species